rnacentral:lncRNA from 1 species
CCUGUGUCUUUCACUGAGUUACCAACUCAUUGAGGGCUGAGCUUUUGCUGUUGCAUCACGCUGUGCCCAGGAUAAUAUCACCAUGCCCCCCAUUUAAUACUCACAGCAACUCCAUAAAUGGAGACAACUCUGUGAGGUACUUGUAUGAUGGCCAUUUGACAGGUUUCCCAAAGUCAGGAUGCUGGUCCAUGCUAGAGACCAAUGUGGCUUUUAUUGUGGUGGUUAAGGGGGUGGACUUUGGAUUUGGACAGAUAUGAAUUUAGUUCCUGGUGCUGCCACUGGUCGAAAACAUGGUAUCAUCUGUCUGGAUCUCAGUUUCCUCACCAGUAAAAUGAUCCAGUUGGAUGAGGAGAUCACAGUCAUCACCUUAAAUACCACAUCCUACAAUCAUAGAUUUUGUUCUUCAAGGGCAUAGUGCAGAAAAAGAGGUGAGAUUCCAGAAACUUUAACCCAUUCUUGACACUUAGGCAAAAAUGCCCAAUAGGGUAUCUCAUCUGUCACUAAAUUGUCUUCUCAAAGUCAGCUCAAAGACAGAUGGCCUGUUGGUGCUACUGUUGAUGCCACCACUUCUGGGACCAGGGGACCAAGUACAGCCUUGUAGGUCAUUCCUCACCCAUUGGGCACCAGGCAGUGCAUAAGCCAAUGGUGUAGUGAAGAAAGUGUAUUUCAUCUCCGCUGGCCUAAUGAUGGAGUGAGUGGCUGGAGGAGCAGCAAUUAAGGAUUUUCUGCCUUUUUCUGGAAAGAAGCUAAGAUAGAUGUGCUUGUUUGUUGAGAGUAAUGAGCAGGAACUCUUACACAUUUUAAGGGAACCCAGAGAAGUUUAGUCUGGAGUUGGGAGAGCAAGGGGAGGCACAGGGCUGCCUCCUGAGCGUCAUUCGUCACAAUGGCCCAUGGCACUCUGAGUUCACUGAAGAUGUCAUCCACAUUCUGUCCAAGGGAAAGGGCUGUGAAAUGUAAGGGGAUUGACUCUGCACUGCUUCAAAGAAUGAGUGAGGACCAGUGAGUAGAAGUUACAGUGAAGGCUAUUUUCAAUUUACUGUAGGAGACAGAAUAGCAGAGGGGCUGAGUGCAUCAGCUUCGGAGUCAACAGCUGCACGAUCUAAGGCAUGUAACUUGUCUUUCUGAACCUCAGUUUUCACAUCUAUAGAGUGAGAAUAAAGUAGAGUGUUUAGCAUUUGCCUAGGCCAUAUUAUCUUUGGUUUCAUUAGCAUUAGAAAGAGCAUUCUGACAGCAGUUAGAGGUCAGCCUCUGAGACUAGAAGGAUUUGGGUAAAUGACCAUCUGACAAGGAAAAAAUAUCUCAGAAUGGAGACAGGCAUCUGAGAAAUUUGAAUAAAACACUAGACGCCUCCGUCAGAGUUGGGGGUCUGUGCGCCUGUGUUUCCACUCCCCUAAGUGAUUCUGGUGAACAUCCAGGUUUGUGAAUCACAGCCAUAGAUCGCACUCUCUUCUGAGGGCAUGUUUCCUUUCUGGAAUGCUU